rnacentral:rRNA from 1 species
AUACGGAGGGUCCAAGCGUUAUCCGGAAUCAUUGGGUUUAAAGGGUCCGUAGGCGGGCAAUUAAGUCAGAGGUGAAAUCCCACAGCUCAACUGUGGAACUGCCUUUGAUACUGGUUGUCUUGAAUUAUAGUGAAGUAGAUAGAAUAUGUAGUGUAGCGGUGAAAUGCUUAGAUAUUACAUAGAAUACCGAUUGCGAAGGCAGUCUACUAACUGUAUAUUGACGCUCAUGGACGAAAGCGUGGGGAGCGAACAGGAUUAGAAACCCUAGUAGUCC